rnacentral:rRNA from 1 species
UACGAAGGGGGCUAGCGUUGUUCGGAAUUACUGGGCGUAAAGCGUGCGUAGGCGGCCUUACAAGUCGGGGGUGAAAGCCCGGAGCUCAACUCUGGAAUUGCCUUUGAGACUGUAAGGCUUGAGUACGGGAGAGGUGAGUGGAAUUCCCAGUGUAGAGGUGAAAUUCGUAGAUAUUGGGAAGAACACCGGUGGCGAAGGCGGCUCACUGGCCCGAAACUGACGCUCAUGCACGACAGCGUGGGGAUCAAACAGG